rnacentral:rRNA from 1 species
UACGUAGGGUGCGAGCGUUGUCCGGAAUUAUUGGGCGUAAAGGGCUCGUAGGCGGUUUGUCGCGUCGGGAGUGAAAACCCAGGGCUUAACCCUGGGCUGGCUUCCGAUACGGGCAGACUAGAGGUAUGCAGGGGAGAACGGAAUUCCUGGUGUAGCGGUGAAAUGCGCAGAUAUCAGGAGGAACACCGGUGGCGAAGGCGGUUCUCUGGGAAUGACCUGACGCUGAGGAGCGAAAGUGUGGGGAGCGAACAGG